rnacentral:rRNA from 1 species
GAUGAACGCUGGCGGCGUGCCUAAUACAUGCAAGUAGAACGCUGAAGGAAGGAGCUUGCUCUUUCCUGAUGAGUUGCGAACGGGUGAGUAACGCGUAGGUAACCUGCCUGGUAGCGGGGGAUAACUAGUGGAAACGGUAGCUAAUACCGCAUAACAGUAGAUAUUGCAUGAUCUCUACUUAAAAGGUGCAAUUGCACGACUACCAGAUGGACCUGCGUCGUAUUAGGUAGAUGGUGAGGUAACGGCUCAUCAAGGCGACGAUACAUAGCCGACCGGAGAGGAUGAUCAGCCAGACGGGGGCGGAGACAGGGGCCAGUGAACUACGAGAGAGAGCAGUAGGGAAACUUGGGAAAUGGCCGGAAGGCGGAACGAACAGCGCCACGCGCGUGAAGAAGGUUUUAAGAUCGGAAAGAUCUGUUGCUCGAGAAGAACGCGUGUGAGAGUGGAAUGUUCACUGUGUGACGGUACCUGACCAGAAAGGAACGGCUAACUACGUG